rnacentral:rRNA from 1 species
GACGAACGCUGGCGGCGUGGAUUAGGCAUGCAAGUCGAACGGUAUCAUCCUUUCGGGGGUGAGAGAGUGGCGAACUGGUGAGUAACACGUAGGUUAUCUACCCUCAAGACGGGGACAACCCAGGGAAACUUGGGCUAAUACCGGAUGUGAGCAACUUUUAGUUGUUUGAAAGGUGGCGUAAGCUGUCGCUUGGGGAUGAGCCUGCGUCCUAUUAGUUAGUUGGUGAGGUAACGGCUCACCUAGGCAAUGAUAGGUAGGCGGCCUUAACGGGUGGUCGCCCACACUGGGAUUGAGAUACGGCCCAGACUCCUACGGGAGGCAGCAGUCGAGAAUAGUCUACAAUGGUCGGAAGACUGAUAGUGCGACGCCGCGUGAACGAUGAAUCCCUUCGGGGUGUAAAGUUCUUUUAUAUGUGAGCAGUGCUUCUUAUAUUAACAGUAUGGGGAGAGAGAUAUUAGCAUAUGAAUAAGCAACGGCUAAACUCCGUGCCAGCAGCCGCGGUAAAAA